rnacentral:rRNA from 1 species
GACGAACGCUGGCGGCGUGCCUAAUACAUGCAAGUAGAACGCUGAAGAGAGGAGCUUGCUCUUCUUGGAUGAGUUGCGAACGGGUGAGUAACGCGUAGGUAACCUGCCUGGUAGCGAGGGAUAACUAUUGGAAACGAUAGCUAAUACCGCAUAAAAUUGAUUAUUGCAUGAUAAUUAAUUGAAAGAUGCAACUGCAUCACUACCAGAUGGACCUGCGUUGUAUUAGCUAGUUGGUGAGGUAACGGCUCACCAAGGCGACGAUACAUGGCCGACCUGAGAGGGUGAUCGGCCACACUGGGACUGAGACACGGCCCAGACUCCUACGGGAGGCAGCAGUAGGGAAUCUGCGGCAAUGGGGGGAACCCUGACCGAGCAACGCCGCGUGAGUGAAGAAGGUUUUCGGAUCGUAAAGCUCUGUUGUAAGAGAAGAACGGGUGUGAGAGUGGAAAGUUCACACUGUGACGGUAUCUUACCAGAAAGGGACGGCUAACUACGUG